rnacentral:rRNA from 1 species
GUUUGAAUUAUGGCUCAGGACGAACGCUGGCGGCAUGCCUAAUACAUGCAAGUCGAACGAGCUUCCGUUGAAUGACGUGCUUGCACUGAUUUCAACAAUGAAGCGAGUGGCGAACUGGUGAGUAACACGUGGGGAAUCUGCCCAGAAGCAGGGGAUAACACUUGGAAACAGGUGCUAAUACCGUAUAACAACAAAAUCCGCAUGGAUUUUGUUUGAAAGGUGGCUUCGGCUAUCACUUCUGGAUGAUCCCGCGGCGUAUUAGUUAGUUGGUGAGGUAAAGGCCCACCAAGACGAUGAUACGUAGCCGACCUGAGAGGGUAAUCGGCCACAUUGGGACUGAGACACGGCCCAAACUCCUACGGGAGGCAGCAGUAGGGAAUCUUCCACAAUGGACGAAAGUCUGAUGGAGCAAUGCCGCGUGAGUGAAGAAGGGUUUCGGCUCGUAAAACUCUGUUGUUAAAGAAGAACACCUUUGAGAGUAACUGUUCAAGGGUUGACGGUAUUUAACCAGAAAGCCACGGCUAACUACGUGCCAGCAGCCGCGGUAAUACGUAGGUGGCAAGCGUUGUCCGGAUUUAUUGGGCGUAAAGCGAGCGCAGGCGGUUUUUUAAGUCUGAUGUGAAAGCCUUCGGCUUAACCGGAGAAGUGCAUCGGAAACUGGGAGACUUGAGUGCAGAAGAGGACAGUGGAACUCCAUGUGUAGCGGUGGAAUGCGUAGAUAUAUGGAAGAACACCAGUGGCGAAGGCGGCUGUCUAGUCUGUAACUGACGCUGAGGCUCGAAAGCAUACCCCC